AGUGAAAUUGCUGGGUCAUACGGUAACUCUGUGUUUAACUUUUGAAGGAACUGCCAAACUGUUUUCCACAGUGGCUACACCAUUUUAUAUCUCCACUAGCAAU
rnacentral:pre_miRNA from 1 species